rnacentral:misc_RNA from 1 species
AGCAUAUUCAACAAAUAUAUAUUAAUAUAAAGCACUCAUACCUUAUUGUCCUAUAUUGACUGCAAUUAAAUUAUAAUUACAUAGUGCUUAUAUUGCGCCUUAACGAGAUAACAAUUUUCUUAACAUUAAUAUAAUUAAUAAGAGUUAAAAAGUCAAUUUUUAUAAUAUAAAGUAAAUUUGUAAAAAUUUAAAAAGUAAUUUUUUUUUACAAUUAUUCCUAAAUUUUUUAAUAUUACUUCCUUCACUUCCCUUCU